CUGUCUGUCUACUCUUGUCGAGUAGCACCGUCUUUCGCCUGUUGCUGUGCGCUCGCGGAAGUCGGCGUGACUGUGCCUGUGCAGGUGUGGACCAACUCAGCUCGACUGCCGCGCGGUGUGCGCUGGCCGUUCUCUUCUCGUCUACAUCGAUUCCUUACUGGCAUACACCACACACGCACACGAGGACAAAAUACGUCUCGCUCCUGAGCAGCUCUGCGUCUCCUGGCGCGUUCGUGGCCGGGCACGACGCACAGCCCCAUCAGAGGAGCUCACCACCACACAAACACACACACACCGCCUGCACGGUUGUUCUACCACUUUUCCUCUUUUCGCUGCAACGAGGGCAAUGCUGCGGAGACUUGUGGGCGGUCGGGCGUCGCGAGGCGGAUCCAUCAUGAGCCACCGCGCGCCUCACUUCUCUCUCUCAUCACCCUCGUCUCCACUGCAGGCCGCUCAACCAUCUCCAUGCCACACGUCGAUGCGCGCCAUUGGUACUGCGAUGCCCGGCGCGAUGCACCAGCCCGGGGAGUCGGGGCAGGCGGCUGGGUCGAGUACCACGAUCGCCGGGAAGGAGACAUGGGGGCAGUUCAGUGCCAAGAUGCGUCACGGCCGCCGCCGCAUCCGCGUCAUUGACAUUGCGGCGAAGAUGUCCUAUGAGUACCAGAUGUUGAAGAAGAUGUGUAAGCGGCGCCCUGCCAUGCGGCAGUGGGCGGUGCGCGACGACUACUGCGACAUGAGCCCCGGCGUGGUCGUCAUGUCACCUUCUAUGCAGGCUGCCUUCAUGAAGGUGUUUCGGCUGAAGGACAAGGGUCUCAUUCGCCAGUGCCUGCGCGACAUCAUCCCGAUCAUCGAGUACCGCAACCGCGAGGAGCGACCAGCCGCAAUUCGCGAUAAGCCGUCCGACAUGAUCCCCGAAGGCGAGCCCGACACCCUCAACCAAAAGAAGCGCGAGCUUUUCGAGCGCAAGGAGACAGGCGAGAACUUCAAGCCGCUCUACCUGCACGACAAGCGCUCGCAGGCGAAGCUGCGCUUCAAGAUUCGGCAGCGGCUCAUCAAGUUUCAGCGGCAGCUCGCCAUCGCGAACGCUGUGGCGAGCCGCACCGUCCUGUACUCGGCGGAUGACGCGAUCGGCUACUUUCUCUUCCGCGGCGCUGCCAUGUACGCCGGGAUGCACCGUGUUUUCUUUGAGCUGAGCAAGCAGCUUCCGCAUUUUGUGCCGAAGAGCAUGCUGGACUUUGGCGCUGGCACCGGCACGGCCAUUCUCGUAGCGAAGGAGGUGUACGACCCCGGCACCCUCGCCUACCCGCUUUACCGGUCCAUGCGGCAGACCAUGACCGGGAACGUGAGCGCGCAGGCGCAGCAGCUGCGCGAGCUUCGCUACGACCUCCGCCGCCUUAGCCGCAACAACACGGAGAAGAGGAAGGCCCGCUUCAUGGCGGUGGCGGCACUGCUGGAGCGUGGCGAGGUUGACACGGCCGAUUUGCCGGCCGACCUUCGCCGCGAGAUCGCGCAAGUCGCGGCCAACGCCGCAGCGAACAAAAAGCGUCGUCUCAUCACCGAGUCGCACGCCCGCUACCGCGAAGUUGUCGACGGCACCGAGUGGGAGGAUGGCGACCCGCUCGGCGAGAAGAAGAGCACGGCAGAGGACCCAAGCGACGUAUUCGACGGCGAGGAGGACGGCGAUGGCGGCGGCGACGACGGGGCGGCGACAGUGGAGCGGACGUGGUGGGAGAAGCUGGUAGACAUGGAGAAUGCCACCGCGCAGGAGCGGGCGAGCCGGCGCCUGCAGCCGCUGCAGGAGGUCACGGCGAUCGAGCCCAGCCCAGGCAUGAUGGAGAUCGGCACGAUGGUGCUCCACGACGACAUCCCUAACGUCGCAUGGAAGCGGUACCUGCUGCCGGAGGACGAGUCCAUUCAGCACGAUCUCGUAGUGGCUGCCUACUCCCUCAGUGAAGUUGCAGACUCGGCGAAUCGGACGCGGCUCGUGCAGCAGCUGUGGAAGAUGACACGCGGCGUACUCGUGCUGGUGGAGUUCUCGAAUCUGCACAACUUCAACCUCCUGAUGGAGGCCCGCGACACGAUCCUGGAAGAAAAGGGCAUUGGUCUAUGGGACUGGCAGCCGACCAUUGUAGCCCCGUGCCCGCACGAGCAGCGCUGUCCGCUGCGCCACUGCAAGGCGGGCGUGAAGAGCAAGCGCAUGCGCCUCUGCACGACUGAGGCACAGUACCGUGCCACCUUUAUCGAUGUCUGGGCACGGCACAUGCCGCUGAAGGUGGGCAUCGAGCCCAUCUCUUACAUGAUUUUUGCCCGCAACGAGCUCGUGCCCGAGCGGGCGGAGCGUCGAGAGGCGCAGGUGAAGCGGGAAGAGGCGGAGCGGGUUCAGGCACGAGAUGCGAAGCAGCGAGAGCUCUACGCGGCCUCGCUGUCGUUGAAGGACGUCGUCUUCGAUCGAUUGAGUGACGAGGCGCUGCACCGACCCUCAACCGGCGUGCCGAUGAAGUUGUCGGGCGCAGCGACCGCCGAUGACGUGGCUGCCUCGUCGACCCUUACGCAGGCGAUGCAAAACGGCGCCACCAGCACCGCGGAGGUGGGCCAGCUGCCCUUGGCCGUCCCCCGCCUAGCCCAGACCUCUGCGCAGCGGUACAACAAGCUCGUCUACCCGCUCCAGUUUCCACCAGCAACGCACCGGUACAACCGCGCCUUCGUUGACGCUGGGUAUCAGCGGCAGCGCGCCAUCACGCCUUCCGAGAUGCUGGUCGUUCGCGAGGAGUUGGAGGACAUGCGGCGCCGAGUAACGCGAGCAAGCCCGUCAUAUCUGCGCGUGGUGCGCGACCCUACGUGCCGGGGCAAGAUCCAGGCGUGCUUCUGCACACCGGAUGGCGACCUCAUCACCGCCCGCGUCUACCGCCGCUUCUACGGCGACCACAGCAGCGUCCGCCGCCACACGACGAUGCGCUGGCAGCACAUUGGCGGUUGGAAGCUGCUGAAGCGCAUCCGCAGCGGCUCCCUCUUCCCACACGACCUGCCGCUCUACGCGGUGAAUCGGCACCCCCAGGUGGACUUUCCCAACACCCUCGUCGGUGUGAAGCACUCCGCGGUGGAGAAGACGGCGAUGCAGUACAACGACCCGAUGUCGCUGAUGGAAACUCCAGAGGAGGAGCUCUCGCGCGAGGAGGUGAAGCAGAAGCGCCGCCUGCUGCGCGACGAGGAGGAGCACAGGAAGGCAGAGGCGAAGCUCGAGGAGGUGCUGGGAACCAAGAUCCGUGACGCCUCGCUGGAGGGCCACAUCGACGCUCGCCGCCGCAUCUCGGCCGAGGAGUGGGCCAAGGCGGUGCGCCAUGCGAGGCAAAAGACGGUGCGGCACACGCAGCAGACGAUCCCGAACGCAGCCAAGAUGCGCGCGCUUAAGCGGACGCUCGAGGUACGUCACCGCAACGUGUGGCGAGAGAUGAAGCAGAAUCGUCGACGUUGAGGGGCAGUCGAGCUGGAGAUGUCCAUUCGUUGCCCUCCGUGAACGCCGCCCUAUCGGCCCACUGGCUCUUCUC
rnacentral:misc_RNA from 1 species